UAUGACCACAUCACGUUGAACCACCGGUUCCGGCACGAUCAUCGAACUUAAGCAACGUCGUGCCUAGUCAGUAACUGUAUGGGGGACCGCUUGGGAAGACUAGGUUCUGUAAG